AGUAGAGACGGGGUUUCACCAUGUUGGCCAGGCUGGUCUCAAACUCCUGACCUCAGGUGAUCCACCCACC
ensembl:miRNA